rnacentral:rRNA from 1 species
UGUUCCCUACGGGGGGCAGCAGUGGGGAAUAUUGCACAAUGGGGGAAACCCUGAUGCAGCGACGCCGCGUGAGUGAAGAAGUGAUUCGUCACGUAAAGCUCUAUCAGCAGGAAAGAAAAUGACGGUACCUGACUAAGAAGCCCCGGCUAACUACGUGCCAGCAGCCGCGGUAAUACGUAGGGGGCAAGCGUUAUCCGGAUUUACUGGGUGUAAAGGGAGCGUAGACGGCAGGGCAAGUCUGAAGUGAAAGCCCGGGGCCCAACU